rnacentral:rRNA from 1 species
AUUGAACGCUGGCGGCAUGCCUUACACAUGCAAGUCGAACGGCAGCACGGGAGCUUGCUCCUGGUGGCGAGUGGCGAACGGGUGAGUAAUACAUCGGAACGUACCCUGAAGUGGGGGAUAACGUAGCGAAAGUUACGCUAAUACCGCAUAUUCUGUGAGCAGGAAAGAGGGGGAUCGCAAGACCUCUUGCUUUAGGAGCGGCCGAUGUCGGAUUAGCUUGUUGGUGAGGUAAAGGCUCACCAAGGCGACGAUCCGUAGCGGGUCUGAGAGGAUGAUCCGCCACACUGGGACUGAGACACGGCCCAGACUCCUACGGGAGGCAGCAGUGGGGAAUUUUGGACAAUGGGCGCAAGCCUGAUCCAGCCAUGCCGCGUGAGUGAAGAAGGCC